rnacentral:misc_RNA from 1 species
GACAGUGCUGCACCUUCACGGAGUGCGGGGUUGGUUCGCCUAUCCGGGCAGGUCUCCUUCGACGUUCGGGCUGAGCUCAAAGGAACCGAAGUCGGAGUUCACCGGC